rnacentral:rRNA from 1 species
UACGUAGGGGGCAAGCGUUGUCCGGAAUCAUUGGGCGUAAAGAGCGCGUAGGCGGCCCUGUAAGUCCGCUGUGAAAGUCAAGGGCUCAACCCUUGAAUGCCGGUGGAUACUGCAGGGCUAGAGUCCGGAAGAGGCGAGUGGAAUUCCUGGUGUAGCGGUGAAAUGCGCAGAUAUCAGGAGGAACACCGAUGGCGAAGGCAGCCCCCUGGGUUAACACUGACGCUCAGGCCACGAAAGCGUGGGGAGCAAACGAGGAU